GUGGGUAUAGCUCAGUGGUACAGCAUGUGCUUAGGUUCAAUCCUGGGUUCAAUCCCCAGUACCUCCG
rnacentral:tRNA from 1 species